CCUGCGCCCACCACCACGCCCAGCUAAUUUUUUUUUAUUUUUCAUAGAGAUGGAGUUUCACCUUGUUAGCCAGGAUGAUCUUGAUCUCCUGACCUCGUGAUCCGCCUGCCUCGGCCUCCCAAAGUGCUGGGAUUACAGACUGUUUGCUGUGAUUGCACCUGCCAUCUUAUGCAGAAAUGACCUGAAGACAGACUGAAACAACGUGUUCUACAGCCUGAAAAUAUCUACUUUGACUUACAGUUUUAUUAAUGCUGGUGUGAUCAGACUGGACAAAAAUUAGCAUAUGUUAUUAACUAAUCUAAUUCAAGUGCCAAUUCUUAAUAGAAACACAAAACAAUAAAAGCAAUUCAGAAAAUA